CCUACGGGUGGCAGCAGUGGGGAAUAUUGCACAAUGGGCGCAAGCCUGAUGCAGCCAUGCCGCGUGUGUGAAGAAGGCCCUCGGGUUGUAAAGCACUUUCAGCGGGGAGGAAGGCGGUGAGGUUAAUAACCUCAUCGAUUGACGUUACCCGCAGAAGAAGCACCGGCUAACUCCGUGCCAGCAGCCGCGGUAAUACGGAGGGUGCAAGCGUUAAUCGGAAUUACUGGGCGUAAAGCGCACGCAGGCGGUCUGUCAAGUCGGAUGUGAAAUCCCCGGGCUCAACCUGGGAACUGCAUUCGAAACUGGCAGGCUAGAGUCUUGUAGAGGGGGGUAGAAUUCCAGGUGUAGCGGUGAAAUGCGUAGAGAUCUGGAGGAAUACCGGUGGCGAAGGCGGCCCCCUGGACAAAGACUGACGCUCAGGUGCGAAAGCGUGGGGAGCAAACAGGAUUAGAUACCCUUGUAGUC
rnacentral:rRNA from 1 species